rnacentral:lncRNA from 1 species
GCGCUUUCCUGGGGAGCACGGCUGUAGAAGCCCAGGAGCACGGUCGCCUUGGCCAGCCUGGGAACGAAUCCAAGCCUGGCUGGGACUGAGCCCCUCAUUCUGGUUCCAUCCUGGAGCCAACCGUGUCGGCAGCAAGCAUCGAGACUGGCAAUUCCUGCCAGCAGCCGCGCCAGUUUGAGGGACCAAUGGUGAAAGUUGACAUCAUACGGGAUCUCUCAUCCAAUCCCACAUAAACGGAACGGUUGGUCUCAAACUGGUAACACCUUUUCUCAUUUAUUUAUUCAUUUAGUUAUUCGUUUGUUUGUUUAUAUGUUAUCUUUCUUUGAAACGGAGUCUCACUGUGUCGCCCUGCCUGGCUUUGAACUCAGAGAUUCGCCUGCCUCUGUGACCCUAAAUGCUGGGAUUAAAAGCCUGCACCACCACAUACAUCCCUGGGAUUUUAGUAAAUAAAAAUUCAAAUGACUAUUGCAUUGAAGUGGGACAAAAUGAUUCAAAUGUUGGACGGAAAUGUCAAAGACAAUUCUAAAACAGAGUAGCAAGAAGGAACCAGCUUUGCCCACCAAUCAAACCAAGCAGGAUAAUUUGAAGUAUGUUUUAAAGUUACAUUUAUAUGGAUUUUUUUGGAGAGGACCCACGCGCCUGCAACGGUGCAUGUGUGGAAAUCAGAGGACAAUUUGGGGAGUCAGUUCUCUCUUGCUGUGUAAAAGAUCUAAUGUAAGCCAUCAGACUUGGCAGUGCCUUUACCUCACAAGCCUCAAAUCAUAAUUAAAAGGUGAAGUAUUAUUGAACUAUAACACAAUAGUCUGUGGUAAACAAUUUUAAAGAUUUAAUUUUAAUUAUGUUGUAUGUGUAUAUGUCCAAAUGUUGCUUCAGGUGCCCUCAGAGACUAGAAGAGGCCACCUUAGAGCUGGAGUUUAUAAGCAGCUGAAGUGAAUGCUGGGAGCAACUCCAGUCGUUUGGAAGAGAUGUAGUCUUUCCAAGCCCUUGGCAUGAAAUAAUUUUAAUAUAUGAUGUAGGGGCUAUCAUAGUUUGGCUGUAGGAAGGAAUUCCACAAGUGCUAUUGAGAUAACUGAUUAACACUUUGAAGAAAAAGCAGCUUAGUUUUUUCAUACUUUCAUAUAUGUUAGGGCCACAGUGGAUUAAAGAGGUAAGGAAAAAACAGAGUAAGGACCUGGGAGAUGGCUCCACAGGCAAACUCACUUGCCCUUUAAGCCUGGCAAACUGAAUUCAAUGCCCAGAACCCAAGAGAGGAGAGAGCUGGCUUCCAAAAUUUGUCUCUCAUUGCUGUGGCACGUGUGCACUCAUGUUCACACACAACAUUAAUAGCAAUAAAUGUGUAUGAUAAUGAUACAGCUCGAGAUGUAGCACAGGUGGCAGAGCGCUUACACAAAACCCUGGAUUCUGUCUCCAGCACUAUAGCUGGUAUGCCAGCACAUACCUGCGAUACUCAGGAGACAGAGGCAGGAGAAAGGCAAAAGCUAGAAGCCAUCCUUCAAUGGGAGUAACAAAAGAAAAAGACGCAGGGGCCAGUGAGCUGUCUCAGCAGGUGAAGAUGCUUGCUGCCAAUCCUGAUGACCUGAUCUGGAUUCCCAGAACCCACAUGAUCAGAGGGCAAACUUAUUGUCCUCUGACCUCCAUACACACACACUAAUAAAUCU